GCAGAGCAAGCCGUCCCCCGGCACUGAACGGGAAAACAUUGCUGUUUUAGCAUAAUCUGGAGUUACUGCUAUGUCAUGAGCGCGAUGCAACUUGAACAGCUUUUGUUACAGAAUGCAGAGAAUAGGUAAGAUUUCUGGUUUGGAACAACUCCAAAUUACUUCAAAGUAAUUGUUCAUGAAAGGUGUUGGAAAUUGUUCUAGAAAGCUUAAUGUUUGAAAUGUACAGUGUGUCUUAUUGCUCUGUUUCAUGUACUCAUUUCUACUUCCAUUCAAUAAACUGCUUCCUCUCUGAA